GGCUGUGGAUCAGUGGCAGAGCGCUUGCCUAGCAUGUGUGAGGCCCUGGGUUCAAUCCUCAGCACCA
rnacentral:tRNA from 1 species